GCUUGAACUCAUGAAACACGAGAUCAUGACCUGCGCCGAAAUCCGAAGCUUAACCAACUGAGCCACCCAGGCGCCCCUCAGGUGCAGUGAUUCUGAUGCAUGUUUCAUAUCAUCUCUCCGAGUGUGCUUAAAAGACUAUAACCCUAUAGAAGUAAUCUGCUUAUUGUUGCUAUGUGAUUCGGGGAUUUUCUUCUUUCUUUUCUCAUUUUUAAAAUUUGCGUUUCUAAGAUAAUGAUCUAAAAUCAUCUCUUUGUGUAAGCAUUUGUUUUCGGGGCAACCAAAGCAAAGACAUCUCUCAUUGAAUAGAAGCCUUGAGUUUGGGCUGCGCAUGGUUUUUCACAAUAAAGACUAGAUUUCUCUGCUCUUUUUUCAGCCAUAUAUGAGCAUGUAACCAGUCUUUAUUAAAUAGAAUGUGGAUAGAAAUUUUUGUUGUCUCUUCAAGGUUGUACCCUUAAAUAUUAGGGACAUCUGUCAUUGUUCCUUUUCUCUCUUCACUGGAUGGACAUAAGCAAUAUUGACCACACAGAAGAAGGCUUUUGCAGAUUUGGGAAAAUACAACAGAAGUCUGGAUACCAGACAUCAUAGAACCUCUGCAACAGAGUCCACUGCUUGUAUUUAGGCUAUUACUUAAAAGAGAAACAAAUUUAUUUCUGUAUCUCUCUGUCCCAGCAGCCCAAACUAUAUUGAAAUUAUUACUCUCUUAUUUCUGUAUCUCUCUGUCCCAGCAGCCCAAACUAUAUUGAAAUUAUUAUAUUGUCUACACAGAUUAAAUAUAAAUGCACAGGAUUGUACCUAAGAGCAGACUUACAUUAUAAGCCUGGUGGAAACAUUUUUUUUCUUUAGUAACAUAUAUCACACCUAGAUAGAAAUAAGACUAAGACAGAAUUCUCUAAGAGAUGAUGCUCACCUCAUUUUAACACUCUAAAUGUGAGAAUUUUAACUGAAAUUGUCAGGUAGAAUUGUAUCACUGCAGGAACUACUUAAAACAAUACUUGAAACAAUUUUUCAGCUUAAGCAGUUAUAAAAUGAAAGUAGGAAAAUACAAUUGAAUGUUCUCUCUGGAAUGAGAACAUUGUACAUUUUAUGAUGCAUUAGCCUAAGCAUACAGAUAUUCAACAAUAAAAAUAGUUGUUGGUUGUGAUAUGAACUUCCAGUUCUUCCCAAUGAAAGACUUUGUAACGAUGAGGUUACUGAGAAAUCAUCUGCAGUUUUUUCUUCAAAAUAUACUUGCCAAGUUAACAAAUCUGUAUUAAAAAAAAUAAUCUCUAAGCAUUUGAUGAACACCAGAGGACGGGAGGCAGGGUAUUAAUCAGCAGUGCUGAGUGUUCUUUGUGAGUUGGCCUUGCUAUUAUUUUAGGAUUCUUAUUUUCAGGUUUCAGAAUACUUUUUGUCUGUGAUAGUAUUUUGUUUCAAGCAUGAAGUUUUAAUCAAACAUUUUCCAUGGAUAUUUUUCCCUGCGACAGUUCCUACAAACUAUCUAUGACUAUUUAACUUAAGAAUGGAUUCUGUCUGUAAUUGGAGUUUGCUGUUCUGCAUUUGUGUUGCUGUUAUUUUCUGUAUCCUGUGGGUUCUUGGAUUGACUGGGAGUGUUAUAUUUACUCAUUCACUCAUUCGCUCAUUCACUCACUAGUUCAGGCAUGGUAAUAAGCAAUUUAAUGCCCCUUUCUAUAUAGGGAUCAAACUGAAGACAUGCCUUUCUUGGAAAGAUCAUGAUAUUCCUUUAAGUAAUAUCCUGAGCACUUGUAGCAUUGGCUAGGGUAGCCUUAUUUAUAACCAUCUCAUUGCCAUGAAGUGGACUCCAUUUUCUUAUAUUUCGGCCUUUGGUGGUUAUAUUUCCACUGUAAUCACAUAUUAUCAAUAUUAUUCUACAAAAACACUAGGUUUCUUUUAAGAUAACUUAAAGUUGAACUUCCUUAUUUGCUCUGUAUAUAGUUUUCAAUUUGUUGUUAAUGACUUAUUUUCAUCUUGAUAUGUUUGAGAUUUCUAGUAUAUAUAGCUUUGCCUCUUCAUUUAAAAGGUAAUUGUUUUGGUCCUUCUUAACAAGGUGAAAAAGGAAAAUGCAGACAUUUUGCUACAGCAAGGCUGUGGAGAACCCACAGAGCCAUGAAUAGAGAGAAAGUUUAUAUUCUGAAAAGGAAUGCCUCGCGUUGGUGGGAAUUAACCCAGAGAUUCUGGGAAAUGUAGUUCCCAGGCUUUCAGCCCCUGUGGUGGAGACAGUAGAAAUGGGCGACUCUUGCUGACUUGCCAAAAGGGAAAUCAGAGAAAACUACUGAUCUUGGUGUACAAUAUAGAGAUUCAGCAAUUCUAUACAUUACUCAGGGCCCAUUGUGUAAGUAUAACUUUAAUCCCCUUCACUUAUUUCACCCUUCCCCCCAUCCACCUCCACUCUGGCAACCAUCAGUUUGUUCUCU